rnacentral:tRNA from 1 species
GCUAGGGUAGCCUAGUGGACAUGGCAUCUGCCCGGUAAACGUAACAUUGUGGGUUCGAUUCCCAUCCCUGGACA